ensembl:snoRNA small nucleolar RNA SNORD72
AGCUUACCAGUGAUGUCCAAAAAUAAAUGUCUGAACAAAUGACUGUCCAGUGAUUACAGGUUUUAACUGAGGUAAGCC